GGACUACAGGGGUAUCUAAUCCUGUUUGCUCCCCACGCUUUCGCACCUCAGCGUCAGUCUCUGUCCAGGUGGUCGCCUUCGCCACCGGUGUUCCUCCCAAUAUCUACGAAUUUCACCUCUACACUGGGAAUUCCACCACCCUCUCCAGGACUCAAGUCUUCCAGUAUCGAAUGCACUUCCACAGUUAAGCUGUGGGAUUUCACACCCGACUUAAAAAACCGCCUACGCGCGCUUUACGCCCAGUAAUUCCGAACAACGCUUGCACCCUCUGUCUUACCGCGGCUGCUGGCAC
rnacentral:rRNA from 1 species